rnacentral:lncRNA from 1 species
UCCAUUAAUUUUUGCCUCUGAAGCAAUGUAAACUCUAAAAUUUGCCACCAUUUGAGAAAUGCCCUCCAGUUCAGGACAGGACAUCUGAGCUUUAAAAGCUUAAUUCCUUGCACCAACAAAAUUUCUCUCUGCAAACUUCUUCUCAGCAUUUGCUUUAAACCUGAGCGCUUCCUCUAAGUUUGAUUCCAUCUCAAAUAUCUGAAAUCAAACCCAAAUUCUUGAAUGCACACUACAAGCAGCAUACAAUGGGUAACUGUUCGAGUCCAAUACUCAAAAUAACCAUGGUAACACAGUUUGCUCAUUUUCAAAUAAAAAAAUUAAUCAUCUUUCCUGGACUUUACGCAAUCUACAAUUAAUACUGUCAUUACACAACUAAUUCAAUUUCACAACCUAAGUGAUUAUAUCCACAUCAAAUCAAUUGAUUUUCAAU